rnacentral:lncRNA from 1 species
GUGUUAUAUGUGAACAAAGAUGUAGACUAGUAAGGUAUCAAGAUUUGAUGGGGAUAUCCAGACAACUUGGAGCCAAGUCCCCACAGCUGGAUCAGACAACUUUUGGUGACAUCUCACAGUGUGGAUUAUCAAGCCAGUGUAUCAGUCUGGAGCCUAGGUUUUUUGCCUUUAGCUUUGCUCAGGAUGACUUCUGCUCUUCUAUGGCAAUACUUGAGAAGCUACAGCUUUGAUUAGACGAGAGGCUAUUUCAAUAACUUUCUCCUGAUAAGAAGACCACCGACCGUGGACGGAUUCUGGCCAGUUUACAAAGGCUGCAUACGGAAUGCCUCUAAGAUUUCUUCAUUAAUUAUAAGAGACUGGGUCUCACUCUGUUGCCCAAGCUGGAGAACAGUGGCACCAUCAUAGCUCACUGCAGCCUUCAACUUCUGGGCUCAAGUGCUUCUCCCACCUCAGCCUCCCAAGUAGCUGGGACAACAGGUGAAAUUGAAGGCCAGCUUUUGGAACUCAACCUUCAAAGGAACUUAAAAUUUCCAUUAUGUAGAGUCCCUGAGGAAACUGGAUCCACUAGCUACACUGGCUGAGAAUGCUCUCACCCCAGGAUUUCAUUUUUAUUUUACCACAUCAUUGUUGGUAUCUUAAGAUCAAUGUACUGGAGCAGCGGGGUCUCACAAAGAGGAUACCUGGUGACACGCCCAGGCUUUCAGAAUGCACUAUAGGGCUUUAGUGACUUGUCCAGGUUCAGCUGAAAUGUGCCAUCUGGGACCUACUAAUGCUUGUUGAACUUUACUGGAUCUCAGAAGCUGGGUCUCAGAAGCUCAGAUGUUCCUCAGAGCUACGAUAUCAACAACCUGUGAUGACAGAGAGAAGGUUGCUCCAUGAUGGAUUUGGAAACUUACUGGCUAGCUAAACCUGACUGAAUGGGAAGGAAUGUGGAUAGCUUUGGAACUCUAGUUUCACUAGAUGAGCUGGAAUUUGUAUUUUGACAAAUUGCACGUUAUGAUUAUUAAGUAAUGCAACUGAUUUUUUUUUCCCUUAAAACAAACAAUCUAGAAUCUGUGUAAUCAAAAUAAUUUCUCUAAAAGGCUGCAAGUAUAUGCUUAAAGUGUUGGGGCAUUCAGAGCAUUUGGAACAUUACAUUCUUUUGAAUGUCAAUUGGUAGAUGAAAAUACCAGCUUUUAAGUCAUACAUUUGAUUUUUUGAAACAAUAUGCAUUUAGAGUUUGUAAGUCAAGUGAAUAACUGAUAAGGUAAAAAAAAGGGGGAGUUCAUUGUUGAGUAUGAAUUUAAAGUAACCAGACUGCCUUUUGUCCAGUGGCUGUCAGUAAUUUACUUCAGCAGGCAUUUUUUUUUUUUUGAGGCUGUUCUAUGAUAUCAUGACCCUUCUUGUAGGAAUGUGCUUCCAGUGGUGAGGCAGUCUGAGAAUGUGUGAAGCAGUAUAAUGAAGCCAGACCAAGAUGGAAGCUUGGCCUGGGAUUUGAGCAUCAGGAAAACUGUUGAAGGGUUAUGUAUACAUCACACACACACACACACACACACACACACACACACACACACACACACUCUCUUCCAUACUCCUAUAACAACGUAUAGUAUUUACUAUACCUGGUGACAGGUAUUUACUAUACAUUGUUGAAGAUCUAUAACAUGGAAUGCCUAGUGCUAAGUGCAGUGUCCUUAGUGAAAUUGUAUUGGUUUGGAAUUAUUUAUGAGUUUGGGAUUAUUUGUCACUACCCUUAAAUGAUCUUGACACUCACCUAUUUGAAAAGAUAUUGAGGAUUUGCCAUUUGAUAUUGACCAGGGUGUAUUGUGCACAAAUAUUGUGAAUAUACAUCUGUCUGUCCUUAAAUCACUGUAAGUUUUAACUGGAAUAGAUUUGCUCCACAUUACUCGGUAGGGCUGAUAUUUCAUGCCUCAUGGAUGAGAAAAGAAUAGGCAAAAAUUAUAUCUCGGGCUGCCUCACACAUCUUUUAACAGGAUAAGGGAAAAAUAAAUAUAAGACCUAUGAGUUAUGGCAUCAGGCUUGAACUUUAAUUUAUGAAUUAAACCAACAAUAUUAUUGAUUAUUGCAAUUAUCUAUCUUAAUUUCAUUUGUUCUCCUUUUAAAAAUUAAUUAUGUUUAUUUUACCUAUUGUGAAUAAAGUCACUCCUCCCAUGUGCUUAUUUCUUGACUCUGGCACUAAUUAUUCUUCAGUGCCUAGAUUUCCUGGGACUGCUCAGUUUAAGUAACUUCUGAACAUUGGUCUCUGAGAGAAAAGACAGUGAAGUGGGAUCUGUGGAAAAACACAUCUGCAAAUGUCUCAUUUUUUUCUUCAGGGGUAAGUUUUCUUCCUUGGAGACUCUUGUCUUGAAAAAGUGAUACUAGAUCACCAUUUGGCAAGAUAAUUACAAAAGGCAGAUAGAGUAAUUAUUUUACAUAGCUGUUAUAGGGUGACUAAGAUCUCAGGGAAUGACUGUGUUCUGUAAUCCACUUGCCCCACUCAAUACCCCAAGUUUUAUACAAGCCAAAGAUGCUUGGAGCAGAAUCUGCUACCUGAGGCUCCAGGGCCUUGGCCUAGGGAAACUAAUACUUAACUUUUUAAGUGGUCAUUGAUGACAUCCCACUCCUUUCUGAGAUGGGUAUGAUUUGAAAGGCAGGUGUAUUCAUGGAGAGCAGGGCUUGGGACCUUUGCUGCAAGAGGAGGAACUAUUAGCCUAGACUUUUCUAAUAAGGACUUUCUCAUACCUGUUUCCUAGAUCUGGUCCACAUAGAAGAAAUCAGGGAACACACAGGGUAGGACUCUUAAAGGAGUAUGUUUCUUGGCUUUUUCCUAAAAACUAAAACAAAAACAUUCAUAGCAAAGCAGUUUAGCCCAGUGACUAAGAGUAUAGACAUUGGAAUCUGAAAGAUCUGGGUUGGAAUUCUGCUUCAGCCAUUUACUAAUUAUGUAACUUCACAUCUCUGAGAAUGGGGGAAAUUUUCUUUGCAGGGUUGUUACAAAGCUUAAAAGAGUUAAGUCAAGUGCCUGGAACAGAACAGCCAUUCAAUAAAUCAUAGAAAUUUUUGUUUUUACACAAAUUUUUAAAAAGUAAUAUUUUUUGCAUUUGUUAGAAAGACUAUAUUUUCUGUUUAGUGGAUGACAUCAUCAUCAUAAAAAUCACUGUUACAAGUUUUGUUUUGAGAAUUAAAAUCAUAUAUUAAUCCCAAUCACAUUGUGUUGGGAUUAAUCAACAUCUCUGGGCAUCUAAUACUGUAAAAACAUGGCCUGUGAUUGGUCUGCUUGGAAGUGCA